UACGUAGGGUGCGAGCGUUAAUCGGAAUUACUGGGCGUAAAGCGUGCGCAGGCGGCGCGUUAAGACAGGUGUGAAAGCCCCGAGCUUAACUUGGGAAUUGCGCUUGUGACUGGCGGGCUGGAGUGUGGCAGAGGGAGGUGGAAUUCCACGUGUAGCAGUGAAAAUGCGUAGAGAUGUGGAGGAACACCGAUGGCGAAGGGCAGC
rnacentral:rRNA from 1 species